rnacentral:tRNA from 1 species
GCGGGGGUGGCGGAAUGGCAGACGCACAAGACUUAAAAUCUUGCGAUGACAACAUCGUGAGGGUUCGACUCCCUCUCCCCGCA